UCAUUUUUCGUGUAGAUUGUGUGGUGGUGUGGAUUUGUGGCUGCUAGAUUUUAAUUAAUUUUUUGGGCUAAAUCAAACUGAUUAAAAUGGCCGGAGACAAAGUAGCUACUCUUGCUAAACCCCAGCUUCGAAGACUCCUUCAGAACCAAAUCAAAGUCAACUUGGCUGUUGCCGUUGGCCUAGCUGCCAUAGCUGGGGUGGCAAUGAAAUUCCUGUAUAACGAUGCUAGGAAGAAGGCCUACGCUGACUUUUACAAGACCUACGAUAUUGACCAGGAAUGUGAACGGAUCAGGGCAAAGGGAUUAUUCGAUUCCUGCUAAGCAGUAUUUAUCAUAGAGACGGUUCCAAGUAGAUGAUAUUAGAUCUUUUUUAACUUAGAAAUCUCCAUAAAUGUCGAAUUAAGUCAGUUUUUUUUGUUAUUAAAUAAAACGUGAUACCAGU